UUCUUCCACCAUGCGGGCGAGGAGCUGGCGACCCCUGCUGUCGGGAGCGACGAACUGCAUGUCUUUGUCAAGACCUUGAGCCACCCUAUGCCCUCAUAUUUUCCGAUUUCAGGUUCUUCCAGGGCUUCCUGUUCUCAUUCAAAAAUGAAGACCAGAAUAAUUCAAUCAUUGAUACUUAUUGACUCCAGUACUCAGCAAAGAGAAAACGUCGACGUCUAUAAUUCUGGAAAGGAAUCAUUCAAACCUGUGCCUGCUGUUCUCCGUAAAGAAAAUUACAAAAGGGAAACUGGUAAAACAAGAAAAUGCCCCAGCAUGAAGGAAUGGAGAGCAAACAAAUCCAAAACUAUGAUUUGAAGACACAGCUUUCUGUUUAUCCAUUGUGCAUGCAAAUAAACAUGAACCAUCAGUAAAACCG